CAGUACUCCCUCGCCAACAUGUCUUCGGUUGGGGCGACCGCGGGGGAAAACCAAGCCCCCAUGUGGACUGGAAAAACCUUUUUCCACAGCCAAGAGUUACAACUCUAAGCAACAGAAUUUCUGACCAAAACGAUCCGGCAAACGCCGAUCAACGGACCA
rnacentral:rRNA from 1 species